GUUACACUUACACCACCUCUAGAUCGAGAAGAAGAAGGAGAAAUUGUUAACCAAGGGGUUAUAUCACGCCAAGGAGAAGACGAAGGGAAAGGAUUCAAGGAACCAUCCAGCUCAGAAAUUGUUAAUCAAGGAGUUCCACUGGUUCUAUCAUAGCCACCACCAGUGCUGCC